rnacentral:rRNA from 1 species
GACAGAGGAGCCAAGCGUUGUCCGGAUUGACUGGGCGUAAAGCGCACGCAGGCGGGUGCGCGCGUGGGGGGUGAAACCUGGACGCUUAACGGCCAGCGGCCAUCCCAUACGGCGCGCCUGGAGCCUUGCAGAGGGCGGUGGAAUUGCCGGUGUAGUGGUGAAAUGCGUAGAUAUCGAGAGGAACACCUGCGGCGAAGGCGGGUUGCUGGGCUGACACUGACGCUGAUGCGCGAAAGCCAGGGGAGCGAACGGG